rnacentral:rRNA from 1 species
CCUACGGGGGGCAGCAGUCGGGAAUAUUGCGCAAUGGAGGAAACUCUGACGCAGUGACGCCGCGUAUAGGAAGAAGUUUUUCGGAAUGUAAACUAUUGUCGUUAGGGAAGAGAAAGGACAGUACCUAAGGAGGAAGCUCCGGCUAACUACGUGCCAGCAGCCGCGGUAAUAAGUAGGGAGCGAGCGUUAUCCUGAAUUAUUGGGUGUAAAGGGUGCCUAGACGGGAAAACAAGUUGGUUGUGAAAUCCCUCGGCUUAACUGAGGAACUGCAAUGAAAACUAUUUUGCUUGAGUGCAGGAGAGGUAAGCGGAAUUCCGAGUGUAGCGGUGAAAUGCGUAGAUAUUAGGAGGAACACCAGGUGCGAAGGCGGCUCUCUGGACUGUAACUGACACUGAGGCACGAAAGCGUGUGGAGCAAACAGGAUUAGAUACCCCAGUAGUC